UACGUAGGUGGCAAGCGUUGUCCGGAAUUAUUGGGCGUAAGCGCGCGCAGGCGGCCUUUUAAGUCUGAUGUUGAAAGCCCACGGCUCAACCGUGGAAGGUCAUUGGAAACUGAAAGGCUUGAGUACAGAAGAGGAAAGCGGAAUUCCACGUGUAGCGGUGAAAUGCGUAGAGAUGUGGAGGAACACCAGUGGCGAAGGCGGCUAACUGGUCCGGUUCUGACGCUGAGGCGCGAAAAGCGUGGGGAGCAAACAGG
rnacentral:rRNA from 1 species